rnacentral:rRNA from 1 species
AUGAACGCUGGCGGUGUGCCUCAUACAUGCAAGUCGAGCGAACAGACGAGGAGCUUACUCCUCUGACGUUAGCGGCGGACGGGUGAGUAACACGUGGAUAACCUACCUAUAAGACUGGGAUAACUUCGGGAAACCGGAGCUAAUACCGGAUAACAUGUUGAACCGCAUGGUUCAACAGUGAAAGACGGUCUUGCUGUCACUUAUAGAUGGAUCCGCGUCGCAUUAGCUAGUUGGUAAGGUAACGGCUUACCAAGGCAACGAUGCGUAGCCGACCUGAGAGGGUGAUCGGCCACACUGGAACUGAGACACGGUCCAGACUCCUACGGGAGGCAGCAGUAGGGAAUCUUCCGCAAUGGGCGAAAGCCUGACGGAGCAACGCCGCGUGAGUGAAGAAGGUCUUCGGAUCGUAAAACUCUGUUAUUAGGGAAGAACAAAUAUGUAAGUAACUAUGCACGUCUUGACGGUACCUAAUCAGAAAGCCACGGCUAACUACGUG